UACGGAGGGUGCAAGCGUUCUCCGGAUUCACUGGGUUUAAAGGGUGCGUAGGCGGGCAGAUAAGUCAGUGGUGAAAUACCUGAGCUUAACUUGGGAACUGCCAUUGAUACUAUUUGUCUUGAAUGUCGUGGAGGUUAGCGGAAUAUGUCAUGUAGCGGUGAAAUGCUUAGAGAUGACAUAGAACACCUAUUGCGAAGGCAGCUAACUACGCGAAUAUUGACGCUGAGGCACGAAAGCGUGGGGAUCAAACAGG
rnacentral:rRNA from 1 species